UACGAAGGGGGCUAGCGUUGCUCGGAAUCACUGGGCGUAAAGCGCACGUAGGCGGACUCUUAGGUCGGUGGUGAAAUCCUGGAGCUCAACUCCAGAACUGCCUUCGAUACUGAGAGUCUCGAGUCCGGGAGAGGUGAGUGGAACUGCGAGUGUAGAGGUGAAAUUCGUAGAUAUUCGCAAGAACACCAGUGGCGAAGGCGGCUCACUGGCCCGGUACUGACGCUGAGGUGCGAAAGCGUGGGGAGCAAACAGG
rnacentral:rRNA from 1 species